GCCCUUAAUGCACACUAAACCCACACUGUCUUGAAUACUGCUUCGGAGCAGUAUUUUAGGCUAAGCGUAUCCCAUCAUGCAUUAUGUUCGGGAACUCAAAUGCCCUGAAAUCGCGAGAUGUAAAGGAAAACAUACGACUGUCUGCUGUGUCCUCCUCAGUUUAAUUGCUGGAAAUAGACAUCUGGUGUAAUUAUGAUAAGCUAUUGCAGCUCAAAAUGCAACAAAAUGAAAGCCAACAGAAGUGGAAUAAGACUCACAUUAAUGGAGCAGCCCAGUAAUGAGCCCAGCGUCAGUGCUUUCUGCAUGAGC